GUCUCAUUCUGUAGUUAUUAUCAGCCUUAUUUUACAGACGAGCAAGCGGAGUGCAAUGGUGCUAAGGAAGCUGCUGAAAUCACAAAACGAGAAAGUGGAAGAGACAGGACUUUAACCAGGCCUGACUGAAUCCACAGCUGCCGGGGAGAGCAGGAACACAGAUCCCCUCCAGCACAAAUCAUGCAGUCAAGAUUCCUGCAUGCAGCCAUACUGCAGUGAUCAGCACAUCCAGAGUGCAAUGCACAAGUCUCACGCCGGGAAAAUCCCCUUCUUGAUCAUGGUUCCUGCAAGAUCUGGACAGAAGGC
rnacentral:lncRNA from 1 species